UGGGGAAUAUUGCACAAUGGGCGCAAGCCUGAUGCAGCCAUGCCGCGUGUGUGAAGAAGGCCUUCGGGUUGUAAAGCACUUUCAGCGAGGAGGAAGGUGGUGGACUUAAUACGUUCAUCAAUUGACGUUACUCGCAGAAGAAGCACCGGCUAACUCCGUGCCAGCAGCCGCGGUAAUACGGAGGGUGCAAGCGUUAAUCGGAAUUACUGGGCGUAAAGCGCACGCAGGCGGUUUGUUAAGUCAGAUGUGAAAUCCCCGGGCUCAACCUGGGAACUGCAUUUGAAACUGGCAAGCUAGAGUCUCGUAGAGGGGGGUAGAAUUCCAGGUGUAGCGGUGAAAUGCGUAGAGAUCUGGAGGAAUACCGGUGGCGAAGGCGGCCCCCCUGGACGAAGACUGACGCCCAGGUGCGAAAGCGUGGGGAGCAAAACAGGAUUAGAUACCCUGGUAGUCCACGCUGUAAACGAUGUCGAUUUGGAGGUUGUGCCCUUGAGGCGUGGCUUCCGGAGCUAACGCGUUAAAUCGACCGCCUGGGGAGUACGGCCGCAAGGUUAAAACUCAAAUGAAUUGACGGGGUC
rnacentral:rRNA from 1 species